ACAUUUGGUAGAAACUGUUGAAGCCACCUGGUCCCAGCAGACCCCAGAAGGCGGCCAUGUUCGCUGGUACUGGGGCGUGGUCAUUAAGGGUGGUGCCAGAUAUG
rnacentral:rRNA from 1 species